UGAAUUGGAGGCCAUUAUUUUAAGUGAAACAACUCAGACACAGAAAGAAAAAUACUGCAUCUUCUCACUUACAGACUGCCCCUGUUUCAGCCUCCAGGAGAGUCUGUGACAAGGAGUGGGCUCCCUCUGCAAGGUGCUUGGAUUCCUCUGAAGAAAGAAAGCAAGGAAACAUGAAGUAUGGUGAUGGUGGCAUUUUCAAGGGCGGGUGAUGAAUGGAAACUUCCUGACAUUUCAAGCGACAACAUCUGAAAGGAAAUGGAAUUUUCCUGAAGCACAGGCAGGAGGUCCCCGUCACAAGCUAUUGAUUUGGUGUGCACAUCUUGCAUUUAAUCUGGUGAUUAAUUUGGAGGGAGGCUGCAUGCAUGCUGUGCUUUCAUUUAGUGAGUUUAAAAGCCCACAACUUCUGAUUUAUUUUGCUUCAUUCAUGAGGAGCUGUUUUAUUGCAAAGGGUUGAAUGACAGGUUUCCUGGCAGGCUGUAAAGACAGGUAAAAUUUAAAUAAGGAACAUAAAAUCUUUGAAGACACUCUAUUUAUCUUUUGUAACUUAUUAAUCACACCUAU
rnacentral:lncRNA from 10 species